GAAAUGGGAAUUGUUGGAAAGAAGAAAUAAAAUCUGGUGUGAAAACCUGCAGCAUCAGAGAUGUUAUGUUAAAUAUAUUAAAUUAAAUAUUUCAUAUUUUUCAAACAUUCA
rnacentral:lncRNA from 1 species